rnacentral:rRNA from 1 species
UAGUUUGAUCCUGGCUCAGGACGAACGCUGACGGUGUGCUUUAGACAUGCAAGUCGAACGAGAAAGCCCUUCGGGGUGAGUAAAGUGGCGAACGGGUGCGUAACACGUGGGUAAUCUACCCCUCGCAGAGGGACAACCGGGGGAAACCCCGGCUAAUACCUCGUACGCUCUACAAACCGCAUGGUAAGUAGAGGAAAGGUAGCUUCGGCCAUCCGGCGAGGGAUGAGCCCGCGGUACAUUAGCUAGUUGGUGAGGUAACGGCUCACCAAGGCUACGAUGUAUAGCUGGUCUGAGAGGAUGAUCAGCCACACUGGGACUGAGACACGGCCCAGACUCCUACGGGAGGCAGCAGUCGGGAAUCUUGCACAAUGGGCGAAAGCCUGAUGCAGCAACACCGUGUGAGCGAUGAAGGCCUUCGGGUCGUAAAGCUCUGUUGUUAGGGACGAAGGGCGAAGGGUUAAUAGCCCCUAGCUUGACGGUACCUUUCGAGGAAGCCCCGGCUAACUACGUGCCAGCAGCCGCGGUAAUACGUAGGGGGCGAGCGUUGUCCGGAAUUAUUGGGCGUAAAGAGCGUGUAGGCGGCCAGAUAAGUCUGCUGUGAAACCUUGGGGCUCAACCCCAAGCGUGCAGCGGAUACUGCCGAGCUCGAGUCCGGAAGAGGCGAGUGGAAUUCCUGGUGUAGCGGUGAGAUGCGCA